UAAGAACUGUUCCACUGUACCAGCACCGCUCACGGUUGCUUGGCAGAGCAACGCGAAAGUGUCAACAACAUCGGAGAAUUUGAACAACAUUGGAGGCGAGCGACGUGUCGACCAUGGAGCUAUACUGCAGGAUAGCAAGCUAUAUCGCUCUGCGGAUUCGACACGUGCUGUUUCCUGCUGCUGUCCUGAUGUCACACGUACAGAAGCUAGUCAGCAGUCCCGUACACAGACUGGAGACUGUCGACAGUCGACAAGGUCGGAAGACCGAUGUAUCAGCUGACGUGUACAAUGAUGCUGUCCACCAUCUGUGAAGUCGUCAGCAUCAGAAACAAUGACGCGCCAUUGAAAGCAAUCUCUACAGAGAAAAUCUAGCCAGGAUUCAUGGAAGUAUAUUUAUAUAGCUCGGAUGAUGUCUCCACCAGCUCGGAUGGUACACAUCUUCACGAAGUCGAAUGAUAUGCGUCUCCACGACUCCGUAUUCUUCUGCUGGUGAUAGUACCAUGUUUUGUGUUAACACGUGUACGAACUGCCAGAAAAUAGUAAAGUGAAUAAGUUUCAUGUUAACUGUAAGUGUUAGUGAGGCAGUAACUGUCAUAACUUCAGUAUAUAAGCCUGGCGGCAGCAGCUUCUGGUGCGGACAGUACUGCACUUUAGGUUGGCACGUGUACAAACUUCCAGAAAUUGGUUAGAA